AGAGAGAGAGAGAGAGAGAGAGAGAGAGAGAGAGAGAAAGGGAGAAAGGGAGAAAGGGAGAAAGAAAGAAAACAGUAAGACCCACUUGCCUGACAAAGGCCAGGCUCCAACUCAGAAUUGUGAUUUGAGCUGUUGUCUCUGGCUGUGUCUUUGAUGUCAUUAAACUGCUGUUGAUCACCAUGUGGGUAAACUUCCUCCUCGGGGACACUUGGGUCAAAGGUAAGGUGAGUGCAGGUCACUUAUCAGUUCCAGGCAAGACCUACUGUGCAUCUGCAUAGUCAUGAUCUUGUCCCUUCCAGAUAGAGAGCCUGUGAGUAGAGUUCUUUCUGAUGUGGAAAGCCAUGCAUUCCUGCUCAGAGCACUUGUGUUUACUAUCAGAGCACUUGUGUUUACUAUCAUGGACAGCAAUGAAUGUCUAGUGCAGCCAUCUAAAAGUAAGGCGUGAAAGAAUGAGUUUCAGGGUCCCUUAACUUAGUUUAAAGGGUAAUAAAUUGCAAACUUAUCUCAAAAGAGUGCUAUGAAAACUGUAAGAGAUCAUGUGCAUAGAGCAGACUUUCCAACAUGUGAAUCCACCACAUUGUGCCCACAAGCACCACAGUGGUGGGUCAGUCACCACUGCCCUCCAGAAAUAAAGGGAUCCAGGUUCUGGAGAAAGUCUUGCAGCCCUUUCCCAUUUCUUGAAGGAGCCUUGGGCUGCCAUUCAGCUUGGUGCUGGGUUCAGUUGGCCCAGGCCUUAUUCCAACCCUCCUUCUUGACUGUUGACUAUACUGGCUACUCUGACCUCUAUUCUGUUUAUGACAGGAAGGGUGUAUCACCCACAAAGGAGUGACGGAAACCUCAGAGGGGACAGGUAGACUAUAGUGUCCAGGACAAUGGAGCUAGCCUUGGGACUCAUGGGACCCUCCAAUCUCAAGUUGUAAAUCUGGGCAACAUCCCCAGCCCUAUCUAUGCUGGCCCUAGACCAUUGUAGCUGCUUUGCUUCUGCACUUUGGGAAAGACAGGAAGGCAAGGAUACUAGUGGAGGGUGUGAACCCAGAGGGUGUGAAUGUAAUAUAUCUUGGAUUUGUUUGGAAGCAUUUCAUCCUACUUACCUGUCUUGAGCCACCUCUCCAUGUGUACCCCUAAGCUCUCCAUUGGAGUCCAGCUUCAGUUAUCACCUCUUCUUCCAGUAGAAUCAGAACAUCUACUGAGUGUCAAUCAAAACCACAAACCUCAGACCCCUGGCUUAUACUUGCAAUAUCUGCCAGCUUCCUGACUUUUGUGGUACAGCCUGAGGCUUUAUUCCUCCCCUUCCUACCAAGCUUCCUAUAGAAAGUAGACUUCAGCUGCCCAUACAGAGGACACAUGCACUGUUGGAGGGUGUAGUAAUUUGAAUAAGAAUGCCCCCAUAGGCUCAUAUAUUUGAAUGCUUAGUAAUGAGGAAGUGGCACUAUUUAAAAGGAUUAGGAGCUGUGGCCUUGCUGGAGGUUUCAAAAGCUUAAGCCAGAACCAGGGUCUCUCUUCCUGAUGAUUGCAGAUCUGGGUGUAGAACUCUCAGCCACUUCUCCAGCACCAUGUCUGCCUGAGUAAGACUGUACUUCCUGGCAUGAUGAUAAUGGAUUAAACCUCUGAAACUGAAAUUUGGACGGACUCUACUGGAGUUGGAGCCUGGAGCAGAGGCCAGAGGCUCCUGGCCCACGAGCCCCAGAAAGAAGUAGAGGUGCAGCAGCCCCUGCCACAGGGGAAUCAGCAGCCAGGACCAGAACCCUGCCUGAGGGGGGACCUGAAGCUGCUGCAGUCCAUCUUUUAUUGCAGCUUCUGCAUUGCCAGUCCUGCAGGCUGGAGCUGGAGUGUGCAGACCAGGACAACACCAGGACUGCAUCUCUGUUCAUGGUGGUUGGUUCCAGGGGGCCUCAUCAGCAUCCAAGGCAAUGUCACAUACCUUGCUGUGCCCCGAAUCUGGUCAGUGGAAUCUGAUGACCCUAACUUGACUGCUGUCUUGGAAAAGCUCUGCUGGGUGACUGUCUGGCAGUAUGCUGGCUGGGCUGAUGGCUGAGGUUUUACAAGAAUUGGAAAUGGGGCUGGUCCAGGAGAAGUGCCUGAUAAUGCAUUAUUUGGGCAUUGUACAUCUACCUUAGGUCCACCUUAGGAAGGCCUGUACAGAGUGUGGGGUGAUUAGGAACAGUUCCCUGCCUGCCUUAGUUAGGGUUUCUAUUGCUGUGAUGAAAAACUACAACCAAAGCAACUUGGGGCGGAAAGGGUUAUUUGACUCACACUUCCACAUCACUGUUCAUCAGUUGAGGAAGUCAGGACAGGAACCUGGAGUCAGGGACUGAUGCAGAGGUCAUGGAGGGGAGCUGCUUACUGCCUUCUCCUCGUGGCUUUCUCAGCCUCUUUUUUGUAAAUAGAAAUCAGGACCUCCAGCCCAGUAAUGGCACCACCCACAAUGGACUGGGCCCUACCCAUCAAUCACAAACUUAGAAAAUGUCUUGUGGGUUUGCCUACAGCCCAGUCUUAUGGAUGUGUUUUCUUAGUUGAGGUUCCCUCUGAUGACUUCAGCCUGUGUCAAGUUGACCUAGCCAACACACUGCCCAAAGUCAGUUUGUCCAACUCAGUCCUGUAGUAUAUUUAAAAGACUUUUCCCACCAAAAAUAAAAAAAUAAAAAAGCA